UACGUAGGGGGCAAGCGUUGUCCGGAAUUAUUGGGCGUAAAGAGCGCGUAGGCGGUCCGAUAAGUCGGCUGUGAAAGUCAAAGGCUCAACCUUUGAAUGCCGAUGGAUACUGCCGGGCUCGAGUCCGGAAGAGGCGAGUGGAAUUCCUGGUGUAGCGGUGGAAUGCGCAGAUAUCAGGAGGAACACCAAUAGCGAAGGCAGCUCGCUGGGAUGGUACUGACGCUAAGGCGCGAAAGCGUGGGGAGCGAACAGG
rnacentral:rRNA from 1 species